rnacentral:rRNA from 1 species
UACAGAGGUGGCAAGCGUUGUUCGGAAUUACUGGGCGUAAAGGGCGCGUAGGUGGCCUUCUUAGUCAGACGUGAAAUCCCCGGGCUUAACUCGGGAACUGCGUCUGAUACUGGAAGGCUCGAGUUCGGGAGAGGAAUGUGGAAUUCCAGGUGUAGCGGUGAAAUGCGUAGAUAUCUGGAGGAACACCGGUGGCGAAGGCGGCAUUCUGGACCGAAACUGACACUGAUGCGCGAAAGCCAGGGGAGCAAACGGG